rnacentral:rRNA from 1 species
GGGCUGCAGUGGGGAAUUUUGGACAAUGGGCGCAAGCCUGAUCCAGCCAUGCCGCGUGAGUGAAGAAGGCCUUCGGGUUGUAAAGCUCUUUCAGACGGAAAGAAACGGCCACGGCUAAUACCCGUGGCUAAUGACGGUACCGUCAGAAGAAGCACCGGCUAACUACGUGCCAGCAGCCGCGGUAAUACGUAGGGUGCGAGCGUUAAUCGGAAUUACUGGGCGUAAAGCGUGCGCAGGCGGAUUGUUAAGCAAGAUGUGAAAUCCCCGGGCUUAACCUGGGAAUGGCAUUUUGAACUGGCAGUCUAGAGUGUGUCAGAGGGGGGUGGAAUUCCACGUGUAGCAGUGAAAUGCGUAGAGAUGUGGAGGAACACCGAUGGCGAAGGCAGCCCCCUGGGUCAACACUGACGCUCAUGCACGAAAGCGUGGGGAGCAAACAGGAUUAGAUACCCGGGUAGUC